rnacentral:rRNA from 1 species
UACGUAGGGUGCGAGCGUUAAUCGGAAUUACUGGGCGUAAAGCGUGCGCAGGCGGUUUUGUAAGCCAGAUGUGAAAUCCCCGGGCUUAACCUGGGAAUGGCAUUUGGGACUGCAAGGCUUGAGUUUGGCAGAGGAGACUGGAAUUCCUGGUGUAGCGGUGGAAUGCGCAGAUAUCAGGAGGAACACCGAGUGCGAAGGCAGGGUCUCUGGGCCGAUUACUGACACUGAGAGCGAAAGCAUGGGGAGCGAACAGG